UUUUGGAAACCUAUUCAUUGAUUUAUGGGAAAACUUCAAAUACCCCACUUGUUGUUUCACUUUUUUUUCACUUUAGUACCCUGUGGUUUAAAGUGUAUUAAGUUAGUACCCUGUGGUUUCUCAUUUUAUCACUUUAGUAUCCUGUGGUUUAAAGUGUAUCAAGUUAGUACCUUAUAAUUUCGCACUUUAUCACUUUAGUACCCUGUGGUUUCGCACUUUAUCACUUUAGUACCGUGUGGUUUAAAAAGCAUAGGGUUCUAAUUUGAUACAAAAAUAAAAUCGCAAAAUACUAACGUGAUACGUUUUAAAUCAUGUGGUACUAAAGUGAUAAAGUGAGAAACCACAUGAUACUAACUUGAUACACUUUAAACCACAGGGUACUAAAAUGAAAAAAUACAAAACCACAGGAGAGGUUUUUGAAGUUUUCCCUUGAUUUAUAAUCUCAUGAUUGAUAUUUU
rnacentral:lncRNA from 1 species